rnacentral:rRNA from 1 species
ACGCUCGACACCUACGGAGGCAGCAGUUGGGAAUAUUGGACAAUGGAGGAAACUCUGAUCCAGUGACGCCGCGUGAAGGAAGAAGGUCUUCGGAUUGUAAACUUAUUUUGUCAGGGAAGAAAAAUGACUGUACCUGAAGAAAAAGCACCGGCUAACUACGUGCGAGCAGCCGCGGUAAUCUGAGCGGGCUGGCAAGGC